rnacentral:rRNA from 1 species
AUGAUGAGGAAGCUUGUGGCGGCCAUGCUCUUGGUUCUCGUGGCCACGUCCGGCUCAUCAUGGUACCGGGCGGCGGCGAGGCCGUUGCAAGGUGAUGAGGUGCAAGACGGGGAACCCUCCUCCGGCGGCAUUGCGCUGCCGUCGCCGACGCAUUGGCGUGGACACGUGCUGUCUCAGUUGGAGGAGAAGGGCCCCAACGGGUGCCCGAAGACUCACAAUCAUACCACAACUUGUCCCCCCGUGUAG